rnacentral:hammerhead_ribozyme from 1 species
CUGCCACUGAGGAGUCCCAUAAUAGGACUAAACGAACGUCAAGCAG